UCUGGGUAAAAAGCCACCUGUUAACAGCUGUGGAAAUCUUCAGUUUGUGUUACUCCACCCUUUCUAGAUUCCCUGUGAUGUCGUUUCUGCCAGUAUCAUGGGAAAUAGUUUUAUGACUAAAGCUUUAAAUCAACAGGUUCACGGUGUAUUGUUUAUCCCAGCUCUGUUGCACUGAUAUGUUCAGGGAUGGUCAUGGCAUCCCAGCUGUUAAAUACAAAGGGGGCAUCUGGUGGAGCCAAAGUUUACGGGCUGGGAGAAUUGCAAGACUGGUGUUGUUCUGGAACCUGCAGAAGAACGCAAGCAAAAGAGCAAGGCUAAUCCACAGAUGGAAGAAGGCAGGCUGGCGAGUCUGAAGGAAACUCUAAUUUCCCUGACAGAUACCCUACAACUGCUCUGGGGCUUGCUUCAGUUACAGCACGAGUCCUGUAUUCCAGAGUGAGCUUUCUUUUCAUUAAUACAGUGGAAAUAAGGAGGUUUAUCAGAGCCGAACUGUUUUGCUCUCAGGAAAAGAGCUUGAACUCAUAAACAUGCUGCAGAAGGGAGCAGAGGCUGCUCGGUUAAAGACACAGUGAGAAAGCAGCUAUUUGCAGUCAGAAAAAGAUCCUUCAUUCAGGAAUUGAAAUGACCAGCAACUUGAUCUAAAACUUCCCAUCCUCAAGUACGGCACACUCCUGCCAUUGUGGUGCCAUCCGCUGUGACACUCUUACAGCAGGGUGACUGUGGGAGUGACUGGAUCUUCAACCUUCAGCCCCCAAAACUGUGAGCUAAAUAAACCCCUUCUCCUCAUAAAGUACCCAACCUCAGGUAUUUUUUUUUUUAAAGCAACAUAAAAUGGGCUAAUGGAGCAAUAUGAGGACAUUGGUUUACAAGCACUUAGGAAUACCUUAUAUGAAAGAGCUGCAGCCUUCAGUUUGUCUUUACAAAGGAUGGAUAUGUCUUUUCAAUUAACAGCUUGAAAAAGUCUGGAAUUAUUUCUUACCUCACAGCUGUCCUGUAAAGUAAUUUCCUUAUUUCUCUCAAGUUGAAAGAAAUGUCUACUGCUUCCUAUUAACUAGCUCAGGGAUUUUCAAAUUAGGUGAAUUUCACAAUUUGUGUGUUAACUGGGGGGAUCGGAGGUGGACUUCGUCAAUUUCCUAUGCCUAGAUUCCCCUAAGUCCACAGAAUCAGAAUUUUUAGCUGUGAUGUCCAAAUUAAGUCAGUUGAAAACCACUCCAUGUGCUUCUGAUGCAUAUCAAACUUGACAUCCAUGGGACCACAUUCUCUUUGACUGAUAAAAAUGUUCAAGCUUAGUAGCUAGGAAGAGCUUUCUGUAGGUAGUAUUAUCAUUUAAAAUGAACAGAUUUAACUUUUACAAAUGGACAUCCUUUUAAGAGGUUUGGGGCCGGUGGAUUUGAGGGGAGCUCUUAGAAUAUGUGUUGGGCUACCCUUACCUCUUCAUUGUCUGCAUUUCCCCCUCUGCCAUGGCCUGCUUGGUUUCCCAGUCUGUCUGCCCCUCUGGGUUAAAUGGAAAAAUUGACAUCUCACAUUUAAGGGAAUUUAUUGCAAAUUAAUGCAGUAGAGAUUUAUAUUUUCAUGUGAAAUAUCCUUUUAAUAGAGUAAAUAAUUGUUCCUCCCUCCAAUAUAUUUGUCUCAUUACUCUGGAUGCUCUAUAAUAGGAUUAUCUGUUAUAAACAUACACUUACAGAUCCAAAUAUAUGCACAGAUGAAAAAUAUCAAGCUUACAGGACAAGGUCAUCCCCCAAGCAUGGACACUCAAGGCCUUUUGGCUCUAUUUUCUCUAAGGAAAACUAAAGUCACAGUUGAACAAGGGAGCUUCCCUUGUCUCCUAGUUUCCACCAAGUGCUGGCUCUGACUCUGUUCUUUUGAUUUUUUUAGCGGCCUUCAGAGAAUUCUCAUGGAGGAGAGAAGGAAGUGGAUUGAAGAUGGGGUCGAGUUUCUAUCUGCUGUUUGACCCAUGGAUUGCUGGAUAGACAUGACAUAUAGAAAACAGCUUGAUUCAUCCCACAGAAGUAGCAGAGAGUCCCAGGACCCAGCCUGCCCCACAGCAUCCCAGAGGGAUUUAUUCUCUUCUGAAGUUUGCAGAAGAAAUUGUUUUAUGAAUCAAUUUAAGACUAAUAAAUACAUAGAGUUCUAUUCCAAACAUAUUUUUUUUAAUUAUAAAAGAAGUACAUACCUCUUAAAAGGAUUAUGGGAGAAAGAGGAAUGUAGGAAAAAAAUAAGACAGAAAGUACAGGUAAGAGUGCUGAUUUUAGAAUCAGGGCCAUACGGACUAGAAUCAGCCUUACUUGCUGUAUACCCUUGGGUGAGUUACUUCACAUUGCUGAGUGCAUUCUUCUCAUCUGCAAAAUGGGAACAACCUCUCUGUCUGUCAUGUGGUAAGGGUUUGCUAAAGUGUAUUUUGUAAAAGCACUUAGAAAAAUUCUUGGUAUAGAAUAGUGUUACCAUAAUACAGGUGAGGUAAGUGUUUUUACUGCUGGUAGGAUAGCUACUGACUACAUCCUUUCCAGGCAAAUGGGACUGACUUUGAACCCCUUUUGGUUUGGGGGAGAAUUACUGGUAUUGGUAUUCCUAGCAUUAAGGCCACAUAAUAUUUGAAGAACUGGUUGCAAUCUCUUAAAAGUGUUAUUACCAAGAAAUAGAUUUUGGUUAUGUCUGUUUUCAUGGUACAGUAACCGAAAUCCCUUAGUUUUUGUCUUAAGCUUAUAAACAUAUUUUAGUUUGUAAAAAGUGAUAAAAAAAUACCCUGAGAAACAAUUAAAGUUCAUAGGAAAAUAAGAAAUCUUCACAGUAAUGUUUCAUUGAAUCAUCACAUUUUUUUUCCUGAAAUACCAAUGAAGAAUGGCAGUUUUGAUAUGUAAAACAGUAGUUAGUCUUUAUGUGGAUAACACUUUUAAAAGCCUAGAAAUAUUUCACAUUUGAAGAAAAACACUUGUUUCCCGUGUUGAAUCUGAUUAAAAUUCAAAUCUAUCUUAGCAUCUCAUUACUAUUUGAAAAAAGCAACCUUCACGCUUAAGGAGAACGGCUCGGAGUCCACAGGUCCGGUGGCUGCAGGCUCUGCCUCUGGCUGUCACUGUGCUGGGACCCCAGAGGACAGGGCCACAGCUACAUCCUUGUUAAAACAGUCAUGGCGGGAAGACUGGCCCCGAGUUUCCUGCCUUUCCCCUCUCCCAUCCCGACAUUGUUUCAGCUGCCAGAUCCUCAAUAUUUUCUCUCCAGCAAGGGAAAGGGAAGGGCAAAAAUGACUUUGAAAGAAUAACAUUUCUUUCUAUGGACUUAAAUAGAACACUCAACACAAAACAUCCUGUGCUUCCUUUUCAUGGAUAACGUGCUGCUUGUCGCCGUGAGUGAACUAAAAAGCAGGGCUGGGUGUUGAGAGAGUUGGUGUUGGAGCUGCCAGCUGGGCGGUGAAGAAAACGCCCCUUGGGUAUUUUAAGAGAAAAAAAUUCAUGUACCCUCCUUUGGAAUAUUGGUCUCCAACACAACUAAGUCCAUGGUCCAGGACGGUCCUCCAUGAACCAGUUUGAUCCACGGACCGCUUAAGAUCCGCAACAAGAUGGCAACAUCUGGGGGCCCAUCAGGUGGGAGUGCCAAGCAUGUCCUGAGAUUGCAAGUGACCUGGGAAGGUUGAUGAGCAAGCACAUCAAUAACGUCAUGCAAAUGGAUUUUCUAUGCAGAUGAAUGGAAGAGCUACAGUUCACUGAUCAGCUAAUACAGUUAAUUGGUUCCAAACACUCAAGCCUGCCAGAAAAAACAGACAAACUCUCAAGAACAACAAUGCCUAUUAUGUGUGCAGUAGGAGCUGCCAGAUUUUGAUUACUGGCCAGACAUUAACCCCUUUGAUGUCCUAUGGAAGAGAUGCCAAGUCUGAAUCCAGAUAUUUCCAGAAUUCUGCGGUCGUUUGUGAUUUAUAGAGACCCGCAAAACAAGUCCACUGGGAGGAGGAAGUGCACGUCAAGGGCCAUAUCUCCUCUUUGCUGAAUUCUGCCGUGUCUCCUGCUGACCAGUGGACAGAACACGACUCUGUCCCUCCUUGGGCCUGACUUGUGGUGAGGGGCAUAUUGCUCGUGCCCCACGUGUGGUGGUGUCUUCAUGUCAAGCUGGUGUCAGAUUCUGUCAGAGGAAAGCCUGUGGGUUCCAUGAGGCUGCCAUCUCCAGUAACGCUGCCGGAAAGAAGAAUUCCUGAACACUAAUCAGUGUCUUCCCCACUCUCACACAGCCCUGUAGGUAACAAAAAGAGAUGCUCAAUGAAGGAGGUGAAUUCUAAGUUUGAUGAUUAAAGAUAAAGGGGCUGGCAUCAUCCUCCAUCGAGUCAGUUGGUUGACUGUCACCUCUGCCCCUGUGCCGAGGGGCACCAAGAUACAGAGCCGGCUGGAGCUGGCUGCUUCACUGGAAUCCACAGUAUGGAGUGGCUGGGGGUGGCCACACGAGCCGCUGCCCCUCCUGUUGGGCUGCACCAAAGAUCUUGCAAGCCAAAAUGAUCAGAAGAGGAUGGAGUUCUGAAACCAUACUUAAGUCAGGUUCAGGUCCAUAAUUUCUUCACCUCACAUCAGCUCCUAAAAAGGAUUGUAUUCUCCUAGUAAAUGAAAAAUAAGGGGGAAACAGAGGCUCUUUGAGUUUUCUGGUGAUUGGAAGGAGGGUGUGGAUAUUUAUUCAGAGUUUAUUUAUAUUGUUUGUCUUACAGUCUUAGUAUACCACCGACAAAUAACCAACUCCCUUCCAAAUCAACGAGAAAGCUGAAGGCUGAGUUAUUGGCAGUUUUUAUUUAAUUAAACUGUUUUGCAUUUCAGUAUCAAUAUUUUGAAUUUUAUACCAAGUCUCUCAGUCUCCCAACAGGCCCACAGUGAACUGGAGACAGCACACAUGGGGACACAUGGUAAGGAUGGAGCUGAAAGCGGAGGGGUGACACCCGACGCUUGCCCUUCCCAGACCUGCUGAACUUUCAUGUGGCAGCGGCAGGUCAGAUGUUGCUAAUAUUUAGAACACGCUUUUAAAUAUUCUAAUCGGUCUCCAAGUUCGACCUUUCCCCUUCCUUUCUCCCUUCUCCACAUCUCUGCUUAACUGCCCACAGUGCAAACACUGCACCAACGAAGCCCGGUCAGAUGCCAGACAGGGCUGUCUCAGGCUCUAAAAUUACCCACCCAAUGUGCCAUUGAUUAAAACCAUCCCUUGGAGUCCUUCCAGAAGCCCGACUCGGAGAACUAGAAAGAAGUAUGUGAUUCUCUUUAUAGACUGACAUGUAAAUUAUGAAUUUGACUUUUAAUGAAAGGCAUUUUAAUAUUUUAUUUCACAGUCUGGUAAGAAAUAACUUCAGAAUGGGAAGUAGGUAUGGCUCCCUUCCAUGCCAGGCACCAUUCACCAGUCUCUGCCCUCCCUGUCUUGGGUCUGGGCCUGCUCUCAGAGCAAUAUGGCGCUCCAAGUCACCACUGCCCAUUGGUCAGAGUAGCCCUGCAAAUUGGCAUCUUUGUACUCUAUGGUGUUCUGUUUAACUUACUACAUAUACAGUAGCAGAAAACCAAGGCAUGAUAUACCUUACAAAUAACAUAUUUAAAAUUA